GUGCCAGCCGCCGCGGUAAUACCGGCAGCCCGAGUGAUGGCCGAUCUUAUUGGGCCUAAAGCGUCCGUAGCUGGCUGCGCAAGUCCGUCGGGAAAUCCACUCGCUCAACGAGUGGCCGUCCGGUGGAAACUCCACACCUUGGGACCGGAAGGCUCGAAGGGCACGGCCGGGGUAGGAGUGAAAUCCUGUAAUCCCGUCCGGACCACCGAUGGCGAAAGCACUUCGGGAAGACGGAUCCGACGGUGAGGAACGAAAGCCAGGGUCUCGAACCGGAUUAGAAACCCCGGUAGUCC
rnacentral:rRNA from 1 species